AGGUCGCUCGGUUGUAAGGAUCGCUGGCUGCUCUGGUGUAGGACUCCAGUGUCAGGGGUUCCGAAGCCCUCUUCUGGCCUCCGCUGGCACCCGGCAUGCGUGUUGUAAACCGUCAUAGGUGCAGAUUCCCACGGACAUUAGGGGGUGGCCAAGACAUCUUCCAGUGUAAUGCCUGUGGUGCAGACCUGUCGGGUUUACCAUCAGCUCCUUCAAGUCUGAGUAAAGUAACUUGAGCCUACAGCUGACCCACUGAACUGACCCAGAAGGCAUGUUCUUCAUCCAGAGGUUCUUGAUUACAUCUAGCCUUCUACAACAUUCCUUCUGUCCCUCCCCCCACCCCCCUUCCUGUAAAGUGAUGCAAGGAAGACUUACGGCUGCUCAUGUUUUCUAACAUUCAGAAACCUUUAAUGUUUUAGAAUACAUCAACACUUCAUAUUCCCUAAUCUUAUAUGAUCUAUAUUAUCACUUGUUCAAGUUCACCACAAUGAGAUGGAAAGACGUCCCCGUCCCUACUCCCGGCAUCUGAUUGCAAAGCCACUACACCCCUGUGGCAUUUUCUAGAACAGAAAUAGAUGCUAGACAUUCUUCCUGAGAUAGUGUUUGCACUUACGUGACCAUUCCUUGCUAUGAAUUAAUAGAUGACCUUUCAGAAAACAGUUUAAUGUUUUAUGAGUUUACGGGAUAUGCAACUGAACCUUUGAAUCGUUCUUAAAGCAAUCUUCAUCAGGGCCAUUAGACCCACAGCCCUCAUUCUCAUUUAUCUGUGAAUUUAUUUGCCAAGAAAUCAAAACACACAAGACAAAACAAACAAACGAACCACAGGAUAGAAUUUCAUCCUGAAAAAUGGAGUCUGCUUUUAAGAGUAGGACAAUGCAGUUUAGUAUGUUGCAGUAGUCACUGUUGUGAUUGUUUUUGUAGCCAGAUACCCAAAGAAUAGAGACCAGAGGGAGGAGGGAUUUCACUGGCUCACAGUUUGAGGGUUCCAGUCCAUAGCGAGGAAUAAAGCGUAGGUCAGCAGCACAAGGCUCCUUGUUCACAUUUCAAACCAAAGCAGAGGGAGAUGAAACUCAGCUCCCCUCUUCCUUUUUCCUCUCUUAUCCCAUCCAAUCCCAGAGCACAUGGGAUGCUGCCACCAAAUGCAAGUUAAGCCUUCCCAUCUAAAUUAAUCUUCUUUUAAAUGCCCUCACCAACGCAACCAGAGCGGUGAUUCUAAAACCAAUCCAAUGGACAAAGGAUAUCAACCAUCACAGGUUUUUUGUUUUGUUUUAGUUCGCUUUACUUAAUUUUGAAAUAGAGUCUCAUGUAUCUAUAAGGCUGGCUUCCAGCUUCUUAUAUAGUCAAAGAUGGCCUUAAACCUUGAUCCUCCUGCCUCUGAAGGUUAGGGCUAAGUCUAAGUGCUAAGAUCAUGAAUAUAUAUGACAGUUCACCUGGAUUAGCACA